rnacentral:rRNA from 1 species
GUCCACGCCGUAAACUAUGGAAGCUAGCCGUCAGUCAGCUUGCUGAGUGGUGGCGCAGCUAACGCAUUAAGCUUCCCGCCUGGGGAGUACGGUCGCAAGAUUAAAACUCAAAGGAAUUGACGGGGGCCUGCACAAGCGGUGGAGCAUGUGGUUUAAUUCGAUGAUACGCGAGGAACCUUACCUGGGCUAGAAUGUGAGAGGAAGUGAUAUGAAAGUUGAUCGCCCGCAAGGGGCUUCUUACAAGGUGCUGCAUGGCUGUCGU